rnacentral:rRNA from 1 species
UUAAACAUGAGAGUUUGAUCCUGGCUCAGAGCGAACGCUGGCGGCGUGCUUAACACAUGCAAGUCGAACGUGAAAGGGGGCAACCCCGAGUAAAGUGGCGUACGGGUGAGUAACACGUAGGUAAUCUACCCUAGAGUCUGGAAUAACCUGCCGAAAGGCGGGCUAAUACUGGAUAGAGCGACGGAAUCCGCAAUUGGGUUUUUCGGGAAAGGGAGCCUGUAAGGGCCCUCGCUUUAGGAUGAGCCUGCGUCCCAUUAGCUAGUUGGUGGGGUAAAAGCCUACCAAGGCGAUGAUGGGUAGCUGGUCUGAGAGGAUGAUCAGCCACACUGGAACUGA